rnacentral:rRNA from 1 species
AACGAACGCUGGCGGCGCGCCUAACACAUGCAAGUCGAACGUGAAAGUGUAGCAAUACAUGAGUAAAGUGGCGCACGGGUGAAAAACGCGUAGGUGAUCUACCUUUGUGACCGGAAUAACCAGCCGAAAGGUUGGCUAAUACUGGAUAGAGCGCAGGCAUCGUGAAGAUGCCUGGCGGGAACGGGUGGCAGCACCACGGAGGAUUUAAGCUAGGGCUUAAAUAUUGCGNGGUGUUGCUAUCGCACUGAGAUGAGCCUGCGUCCCAUCAGCUAGUUGGUAGGUAAUGGCCUACCAAGGCUAUGACGGGUAGCUGGUCUGAGGGGACGAUCAGCCACACUGGAACUGAAACACGGUCCAGACUCCUACGGGAGGCAGCAGGUGGGGAAUCUUGCGCAAUGGAACGAAAGUCUGACGCAG